UACAGGGGGGGCAAGCGUUGUUCGGAAUUACUGGGCGUAAAGGGCUCGUAGGCGGUUUGUCGCGUCGGGAGUGAAAACUCAGGGCUUAACCCUGAGCCUGCUUCCGAUACGGGCAGACUAGAGGUAUGCAGGGGAGAACGGAAUUCCUGGUGUAGCGGUGAAAUGCGCAGAUAUCAGGAGGAACACCGGUGGCGAAGGCGGUUCUCUGGGCAUUACCUGACGCUGAGGAGCGAAAGUGUGGGGAGCGAACAGG
rnacentral:rRNA from 1 species